GAUGAACGCUGGCGGCGUGCUUAACACAUGCGAGUCGAACGAUGAAGCCCAGCUUGCUGGGUGGAUUAGUGGCGAACGGGUGAGUAACACGUGAGUAACCUGCCCUUGACUCUGGGAUAAGCCCGGGAAACUGGGUCUAAUACCGGAUAGGAGCGCCUGUCGCAUGACGGGUGUUGGAAAGAUUUUUCGGUCAUGGAUGGACUCGCGGCCUAUCAGCUUGUUGGUGAGGUAAUGGCUCACCAAGGCGACGACGGGUAGCCGGCCUGAGAGGGUGACCGGCCACACUGGGACUGAGACACGGCCCAGACUCCUACGGGAGGCAGCAGUGGGGAAUAUUGCACAAUGGGCGGAAGCCUGAUGCAGCGACGCCGCGUGAGGGAUGACGGCCUUCGGGUUGUAAACCUCUUUCAGUAGGGAAGAAGCGAAAGUGACGGUACCUGCAGAAGAAGCACCGGCUAACUACGUG
rnacentral:rRNA from 1 species